rnacentral:miRNA from 1 species
AGGAGCAGAACUGCCAGUGCCUCUUCCCUGGGGAACCCGGCACAUCCAGAGUAGAGGCAGGCUCUGGCAAGGGGGC